AGGUAGGAGAAUUUUCCAGUACCUGGUACUGUGGUAGGAUUUUCUUUUUUAUUAUUAUUAUCUAACAUUUUAAAAGUUUUUGUUUAGGGUCUGCCUACCACCAUGGGAAGAUAAGCUUAAUGAAGAAUUCAAAAGGCUGUAUGCACUGCUGUGGAAUUCUAAAGGAUAACAAUGGAGGUGAAGCCUGACCCUGGAAACCCGUCAAGAUUCCCAGAGAUAAACCCUUAGGCAGCAAGAACACUGUCAAUGAAAAGAAACUGACCUUUCUUCUCCUGAGUCACAAAAUUCCCACAAAUGCUGUGUCCCUGGUUGGCUCUGGCAGGACUCACCACCACAGCCCAGACCCCGACGCCACUUCGUAAACAGCGGGGAGGGCACUGCUGGAGCCUUGAGGAAGUUCGGUGCUAGAAGCAUUGUGAGAGCAUCAGCAACUCUGGCACCUCAGAACUCAGAAUGCCUCUCUUUUUCUCUCAAGCUCAUACAGUUAGGAGAGAGCCCUUUAAAUGGUUUUCCUCUGGCAGCAUGGUCUGCUGCUCCUGAGGGACCUCACGGGAGCCUUAAUUGACACAUAAGGGGUCAAAAACCUGCCAAGAGCCUCUGGAAGGACUGUGGUGCCCUCAGAACACGAAGCAGGAAAUCUCAGGGCUCAGAGAAUAGAGGACUUGGUGGGGCAAAGAGGAAUGGAACCAGAGGAGGGAAGAGGGAAGUACUACGGUUUGUCCCCACCAAAACUGAUUUGGGAGUUUAAUCCCACUGAGAGAGACGUAUUGAAGGGUAAAAACUUAAUCUCACCGUGGCAUUUAGAAGUCAGGUCUUCAGGAGGUAACUAGGGUUAGAUAAAAUCAUCAGGUGGAACCUCACAGUUCAAUCUGAUGGUUUUCUAAGAACAGCAAUACUUCAGAUGGUAUGCUCGUACACACGCUGCCUGCCUCAUUACCUGGCCUCAGGUAAUGAGGCCAUGCCUGGACACAGCCUCACAGUCUUCAACUAGAACUGUGAGCCAGAUCAAACAUCUUUUGUGUUAUGAGCAACAAAAAAUGGGUUACUGCAAAAAGAGCUGCACUGAUAAUAUUAAGAACAGCUAAAUAGAAGCUAGAAACCCACUGAAUAUCUUGCUUAUGGUCCAAAUUGAAUCUCUUUAAACUUGAAUUUCCUCAGAAAAAGAGGGAGAGAAAGAGAGACUAUGAAUACUGUAAACUAGGACGUUUUUCUCUGACAACUGCUUUGCUUUACAACCCAGAAAACCAUGAAAUGCCACGUAAGUCUCUCAAACAAUGAUUCUGAACCUUGGCUAUACAUAAAAUCACUUGGAGGAGCUCUAGACAAUGUUAAUGCAUGAGUCCCAUCCUCAGUUAUUGAUAGAAUUGGUGUGGAUGACUCCAGGACAUGAGGAUUUCUCUCUCAUUUUAUGAAUUCUCCUGUCAACUUCCAACCUAAAAUGUAUUUUGUAAAGUUCUGUCUGUAACCCUCACAUUCUUUGUAUUUCUCUUCCUACUUUAUUAGCUAUGACUUCUUUGGGAGAAGCGAUUCAUGCAAACAUCUUUCUUUUGUCCAUGUAUACCUGGGACCAAUUUAUAUUUGGUCCCAGAUUUAAUAUCUAGUCUCCAAAGCUUCUCUGUGUGUUGGCUUCCCUCUUUAUUUAUUGAUGUAUCUUCCAUUAUUUUGUUACCAAGGCUCAAAACCUUAGUGUUUCUUCAUAUGAUGAAUUUUUAAAUGUAUUGCUAGUGUUCCUACUCUUCCUUCUGCUCAUCCAUAAAGAGAAUACUGUCUUUGUUGGCUGGCCAAGCUUGCCUUCCUAAGAAAAUUCUGCUUAGCCAGGAUUGGUGGUGUCCCAGCUUUCAGAAAGCUGAGGCAGGAGAAUUACCUUGAGUUUGAGGCAAGCCUGGACCACAAAGUGAGUUCAAGGAUAGCCUGAACUACAGAGUGAAACCCUGUCCCAACAAACAAACAAAUUCACAGAAUUCUGCCUAAAUCAGGACAAUUGUUAGGCUUCAUGAAAGAAAGUUUAAGAAUUGUUCCUAAUGCUUAAGACAUGUAUGCCUUUUGAUGUUCUCAGGGGAUGGCAAGAAAAUUUAUGAAUUAGUUUCAAAAUAGUUCAGAUGUUAGACUGGACAUUAGUUCUUUGUUGUUUUGAGACUGAGCCAUGUGCGUGGUCAGUUAAUAUUUGCAUUAGACUCAACAUCAUCUUUCUCAUUUGCUAUUUAAAAAUAUUCCUAAAUGUCAUGAAUUCGAUUCCAGUACCAAAAAAAAAAAAAAAAUUUGCUAAAUCCUGUGAUUUUUUUGCCCUCUAGCCAUAUCACUCUCUACUGUCCAGCAACUUCAUAUUCUCCAGCUAGACUACCUACUUUUAUACAAAGCAUAUCUCAAAGUUUUUCCUUUGGACUUGGCUCAUUCCAUUUCCUACAUCCAGAAUCACUGCUCAUUUCCAUCAUCUGAAAUUCUCUCUAUGAUUCCGAGCCCAGUACACAUAAAGUGAUUUACUGCACUUUGGUUUAUAUUCUCAUUCAGUUUGUUCUAACAUCUCUUUGCUACUAAAGCAAAGAGCAAUAUAGUUAGGCACUAACAGUUUUCAGGUGAAUAAAAAUAUUAUUCGAUUUGAUAAAUAUGUAAAUCAAUUAUUUUAAUUCCAUAAAAUACAUAAAUAACUUUAAAGAUAGAAACAUGCUUUUAGAUUUAAAUGCAGAUAUCUACUUUGAGCCAGGAUGGAGAACCAGAUUGCUUACUUUCUUACCUGAAAUAAUAAAAAAAAAAUUGACAGAAUAUAUUAAACAACAGUUUGAAAGUCUUUUCUAUGAUAUUCCACAUAUUCUACAUCCCUUCCUGCCCUUGCCUGUGAACAUCCUUCCAUAGCAAGGAUGAUGAUGAUAAUUCUAAUAGCUAAAAUUUAUAUCGUGCGUACUGUGUCCAGGGACUGUUUUAAGUGUUUUGCUUACAUCAUUUUAUUUAGUUAUUGCAACAACCCCUGGAGGUAGUACUGUAGAAGGCUAGGACAGGAAGGUCAAGACAUUUUCUCAAAGUUACCCAGUUAUAACUGUCACAGAUAAGAGUUGAAUCCAGGCUCUAGAAUCUGGAUAGGACACUUAAACUUUAACGGCUUGAUACAUGCCUAAAAUAUCCUCAUCGUUCUGUGUCUACAAGAAGUUUCCAUUUGUUAUUGCUUCACAUUUUGUACCUCCCCCUGCUCAGCACUAUCAAAUAAAUAUGUGCUUCCCUGUUGUCAGAUUUCAACGGGUCUCACUGGCACUCAAGCGGAAGGCAUCAGCACACGCACAAUUCGGAUUUUGACUUAGAGAGAUCCACUUUAGAUUCAAGUCUUCAGGGACACUUAGCCUAAGAGCAGGGAACAUAUGUUUAUAAAUUUUACCUUUGAGUUUCAUCUUUUUCCUCAUAAUGUCUUUGACGUGUCAUCUGUAAAGCAAACCACAGAAUAGCUAUACUUGAGUGAGGCAAAGAUUUAAUGCUGCUGCUCUGGUUCAAGUGGCUAUACCUAGAACUGUCUGUGUGUUAGCAGUCAUUGAGAAGUACACAUAAAGUGAUUUACUGCACUUUGGUUUAUAUUCUCAUUCAGUUUGUUCUAACAUCUCUUUGCUACUAAAGCAAAGAGCAAUAUAGUUAGGCACUAACAGUUUUCAGGUGAAUAAAAAUAUUAUUCGAUUUGAUAAAUAUGUAAAUCAAUUAUUUUAAUUCCAUAAAAUACAUAAAUAACUUUAAAGAUAGAAAUAUGCUUUUAAAUUUAAAUGCAGACAUCUACUUUGAGCCAGGAUGGAGUACCAGAUUGCUUACUUUCUUACCUGAAAUAAUAAAAAAAAAAUUGACAGAAUAUAUUAAACAACAGUUUGAAAGACACUGGAUAACAGAAGAACAGUGAUAGCUGAGAGAUAUGAAACAAAUGAAGUAAGUACUACAGUUUCCCCAGAGAAUUUCCAGGCCACAGCACAAGGAAAAGUAACUCAGGCAAACCCCAUGAGUUGAGAAUCUGAUGAGACCAAGGCAGCUGGAGUACAGGAAAGAACAGAUCAGCACAGAAACAGGAGGUUUUAGAGGUUUUCAAAGAGGGCAUGGUGACUCACACCUGUGAUCUUAGCACUCAGCGGGCUGAGAUUGGAACACUGUUGGGAAUUCAAGGCCAGCCGAACUACAUAGCAAAACGCUGUAUCAAAAAAAAAAAAAAAAAAAGAGUUCAUCUGAGGACUGGUCAGUACAUACAUAUAAGGAAACCAUCAGAGACAAGAAAGAAUUGCCUAAAAUUAUUAGAGAUGAUAGACAUUCAUACAGGCUGGGAAGAGUGUCUAUUCCCAUUUGCCAGAGUUGGAAAAUUCAAGAUUCAUGAUACACAGCAAGGUAUGACUUAAUAAGUGAGCACUAAUUAAUCCUAGACUGAAUACUGCUCUAGUUCUGCCUAAUAAAUCUUAAAAAUAAGACCCAAAAUGUACAAACUAUUUUCAAGUGAUUUAACCAAAUCACUUACAACAAAGCUUCAGAAUAUUUUUAGGAACACAGUAAUAUCCAGCACCCAGCACUCAAUAAUAUGAAACUCAAAUGCUUAGAAUCAAAUUAUCAGACAUCAAAAAAGCACAAAAGGCAUUGCCAUGGCAGCACACAUCUGUUAUCCUAGCUAUCUGAGAGACUGAGGAACAAGGAACAAAAGUUUGAGCCCAACCUGGACAACUUAGUGACUUCAUAAGAUCCUGUCUCAAAGUUGAUGGAGAUACAGGUCAGCGCGAAGCUCUUGGACUCAGUCCUCAGUAACAUACACAGAGAGAGAGCAGUAAAAUACAAUCUAUAGCUAGGAGAUAAAGUCCUUGAAAUUGAUAGAUUUGGCAAAGAAGAUCUUUAAAAAGUUACCAUAACUUUUACAUACGUUCUAAAAUUUAAGUAGGGACAUAAAAGAUCUAUAUACACAUUUAAAUAUCUUUUUUUUUCUAAUUACAUGGUUAGAAAGAGCAUAUUUGAAAAAUGAACUUUUCUAGAGGGACAAUAUUUCUUUUCCCAAAUAUUUUGGCAUUAUGUUAAUAGACUUCUUGUUUAUUAUAUUUUUGCUUUAUGUCCUGUUUUGUGAUUAUUUUUUUAUUGUGCUAAAAAUACAUAAAAGUUGCCAUCCCAACCAUUUCUAGCUGCACAAUUCAGUAGUGCUAAAUAUACUCUACAUAUAUUGUUUUGCAACCACUUUCCAGGACUUUUCCAUCUUGCAUAACUUGCAUUAUACAACUUUCCAUUCCCUUCUCUCCUCGAUGCUGGAAACUACCAUUCUCCUUUCUAUUUCUAGGAAUUCAAUUUCUGUAUAUUGCAUAUAAGUGCAGCCCUGUAAUAUUUGUCUUUUUAUGGCUGGCUUAGUUCAUUGAGUGUAACAUCCUCAAGGUUCAUGCAUGUUACAGCGGUGACAGACUGCCCUUUUAUUUUAAAGCCAGAUAAUAUUCCAUCAUACAUACAGACUGGCCACAUUCUGCCAGCGGAUAGCUGGGCUGCUUCCACCUCUUGCCUAUUCUGAAUAGUGCUGCUACAAAUAAGGGAAUCUGUGAGACAUUCUUUUUACACUGGUACCUCAGGACUUUAAUUGGUUCCAAGAGACAUGCCAAGUUCUAUCUUGCACAUCAAGAACCAAGCAAGCAGUGAGCAUCUGAACAAUGUUUUCUUCUGAAAAUAUGUCAAUUACCAAAUUUGAUUAUUUUCAAAGCAGUCAAAUACUGAAGUAUAACUGGAGUUCUUUUAGAUCUAUAUCCUAGAGUGAAAUUUCUGUGCUAUAUGGUAAUUCUACUUUUUUGAAGAAUCACAAUAUUAUUUUCCAUAGUGGCUUGUUUUGAUUUUUCUUUCUUUCUUUCUUUCUUUUUUUUUUUUUUUAAGAGACAGGGUCUCACUAUAUUGCCCAGGCUGGAGUGCAGUGGCUAUUCACAGGCGCGAUCCCACUACUGAUUAGCACGGGUGUUUUGACCUGCUCCGUUUCCGACCUGGGCCGGUUCACCCCACCUUAGGCAACCUGGUGGUUCCCCGCUCCCGGGAGGUCACCAUAUUGAUGCCAAAUUUGGUGGGGACACCCAAUCGCAUAGCACACUACAGCCCAGAACUCCUGGACUCAGUGAUCCUCCCACCUCAUCCUCCCGAGUAGCUGGGACUAUAGGCUCGCGCCACCACGCCCGGCUGUUUUGAGUUUUCAAUCAGGUUUAUUGGUACUUUAGAAAUACAUAAUGAUCACUUUCAUCAUAGAGAAUUUGUAUCUGUACACGAUAUAACUUGAUUCUUUUUGCCCGAUCUCCCUAUCCUCCCUUCAAUCUCUCUUCCUCUUCUUAUUUACAAAAGCUUUGUUUCUAUUUUUCCUUUUUUUCUCAUUUUUUAAAACUUUUCCCUUCUUUCCUUUCCCCCUCCUCCCUCACUUGUCCCCAUCCCUGUUUAAACAACAGGAAGAAAAUGUUCAUUUGUUUACUUUUUAUAGCAUUCAUCCUAAUGGGUAUGCUGUGAUACUCGUGGUUUUGAUUUGUAUUUCCCCAGUGAUUCAUGAUGCUACCAUGUUUCUAUAUGCUAGUUGGGCAUCCAUGUAACAUCUAUGGAAAUAUGUCCAUUAGACUCUUUUGCUCAUUUUUUUUUUUCAUGUUAUGAUGCUAUACACUGGAUCCAGGGUCUUGUAAAUACCAAGUAUGCACUCUACCACAGUGUACAUUCCCUUUCCCUCUUAUUCCCAUUUUUAA